rnacentral:rRNA from 1 species
UGGGGAAUUUUGGACAAUGGGCGAAAGCCUGAUCCAGCAAUGCCGCGUGUGUGAAGAAGGCCUUCGGGUUGUAAAGCACUUUUGUCCGGAAAGAAAUCCUUGGCUCUAAUACAGUCGGGGGAUGACGGUACCGGAAGAAUAAGCACCGGCUAACUACGUGCCAGCAGCCGCGGUAAUACGUAGGGUGCAAGCGUUAAUCGGAAUUACUGGGCGUAAAGCGUGCGCAGGCGGUUUGCUAAGACCGAUGUGAAAUCCCCGGGCUCAACCUGGGAACUGCAUUGGUGACUGGCAGGCUAGAGUAUGGCAGAGGGGGGUAGAAUUCCACGUGUAGCAGUGAAAUGCGUAGAGAUGUGGAGGAAUACCGAUGGCGAAGGCAGCCCCCUGGGCCAAUACUGACGCUCAUGCACGAAAGCGUGGGGAGCAAACAGGAUUAGAUACCCUGGUAGUCCACGCCCUAAACGAUGUCAACUAGUUGUUGGGGAUUCAUUUCCUUGGUAACGUAGCUAACGCGUGAAGUUGACCGCCUGGGGAGUACGGUCGCAAGAUUAAAACUCAAAGGAAUUGACGGGG